rnacentral:rRNA from 1 species
GAUCAUUACACAUAAAGUUUUUACACUUUAAACCCAUUGUGAACCACAAAACCUUUUGCUUCGGUAGCAGGCCUGAGCUUUCGAGUUCAGUGCCAUAAGCCUGCCGACAGCACCCUUCUUAAACUUGCUUUCAAACCCAGUCUUAAGAAUUAUCAUUUUCUAAUGAAAAUUAAAACUUUCAACAACGGAUCUCUUGGUUCUCGCAUCGAUGAAGAACGCAGCGAAACGCGAUAGUUAAUGUGAAUUGCAGAAUUCAGUGAAUCAUCGAGUCUUUGAACGCACAUUGCACCUUUUGGUAUUCCGAAAGGUAUGUCUGUUUGAGCGUCAUUUCAACACCCUCAACAAAUUAUUGUUGGUUUUGGGCCUGGGAGCCUGGUGCUUUGCACCUGACCCGGCUUUAAAGUUGAACGCUCUGCGGGCGACCCAGCCAACUGAACAUAGUAAUAGCUUUUUGCCUUGUUCCGCUUUGGUUUUUGGGAUGUUCCGCCUGAAUAACGAAUCUUUUUUCUUAGGUUUGACCUCAGAUCAGACAAGGAUACCCGCUGAACUUAAC